UACGUAGGGGGCAAGCGUUGUCCGGAAUUAUUGGGCGUAAAGAGCGUGUAGGCGGUCCGGUAAGUCAGCUGUGAAAGUCAAGGGCUCAACCCUUGAAAGCCGGUUGAUACUGUCGGGCUAGAGUCCGGAAGAGGCGAGUGGAAUUCCCGGUGUAGCGGUGAAAUGCGCAGAUAUCGGGAGGAACACCAAUGGCGAAGGCAGCUCGCUGGGACGGUACUGACGCUGAGACGACGAAA
rnacentral:rRNA from 1 species